CGGGAACCCCGAACAUCCCCUUUCUCUACUCUUUCCCUUUGGAGUCUAUAGAGGGAGAAGCAGAGCCUAAGGCUUCAUCAGUUUGAAUACUGGCUGGGGCUGGGCAAGUUAGUGGCUCAAAGUGUUGAAUCUGUCCCUAAAGCAGGGACAGAAAUGGAGGCUCAGGAGGUAGAGGUGGCAGUGGGCGUGCAGGAGAAGCUGUAGGUCAGGAGGUAGAGGUGGCAGUGGGCGUGCAGGAGAACUGUAGGUCAGAGAGGUAGAGGUGGCAGUGGGCGUGCAGGAGAAGGUGUAGGUCAGGGGGUAGAGGUGGCAGUGGGCGUGCAGGAGAAGCUGUAGGUCGGGAGGUAGAGGUGGCAGUGGGCGUGCAGGAGAAGCUGUAGGUCAGGGGGUAGAGGUGGCAGUGGGCGUGCAGGAGAAGCUGUAGGUCGGGGGGUAGAGGUGGCAGUGGGCGUGCAGGAGAAGGUGUAGGUCAGGAGGCAGAGGUGGCAGUGGGCGUGCAGGAGAAGCUGUAGGUCGGGAGGUAGAGGUGGCAGUGGGCGUGCAGGAG
rnacentral:lncRNA from 1 species